UAGAUGCCCAUGUCAGUGAAGAAGAGGAAGGACAGCAUGCUGAGGAAGACUCCAGGCCAUCCUAGAGGGGAAAUCAUGUCAGUGUUCCUUCUGUGUGUGCUACAGCUCCAAGGGAGAUGCUCCAAGCCCUGCCAGCUUCCUGAUCCACGAUGUGAUGCCAUCAAGGUGCCUGCUGUGCUUCCAAUGAUCGCUCCCUCCUGUUUGAUCCCGAUCCCUCCUAUCCCCGAGGGGUCGGCUGGGCGGUGGGUUUGUCGCUGGGGGUGCUGGCUCCUACCCUACAGAGACUCGGGCUGACACGAGAACAGUACAUGGCCGGGCAGCAGAGCCGCCCCUAUGAGGUCGGGUCCUGCAGAGCUGCCCACAGCCACAGCUGUGCCAACACCAGAAGGCUCGUUUGGGCUCGGCUGUCUGCUGAUGAGCUGGAGGCUGUGAAAUGAAAAAGGAUUCUGUGUAUGGAUGCAAUGGAUGCUUGGAAGUCCAUUCCUUCCCCAGUUUCUUUGCAUAGGAAAAGCCCCUGCCCACCCUAUAUGAUGACUGUGCCAAACCCCAGUGCUUACCCCUGCAGCUCUUGCCAUCCCCUUGCAGUGUCCCUGUCACACAGCUGCACAGGGGUCCAUCCGCCUGACUCGUGCAGAUCUGCUCACAGCCACCAUUGUCCUCGCACCAAUCCGAUCCUUAGUGCAAGACAGAUAAUGAGAGAUGCUGCUGGAUCCUGAGCAGCCUUCAGUUGCCCAGCCAGGGUGUCCACUCCAUCCAGUGAUGGGAAGACCUACUGGAACCCUCCCAUCACCUUCCAGGUGCUCCUGGCCAUCUCUCCUUGCACCAAGGGGGAUCAUCACAUAAGGUGGAGGACCCCUCAUGCCUGUCCUCAAACACAAACACUUACGCUUCCUCCGAAUGGGCCCCACUGACAGGAUCUGCUCGUGGGCCUCGUGGCCGAAGGCGCUGGCUGACCGUCGAUGUUGGGGGCAGUUCUGCAUGGAGAUGGCAGCAUAUUUAUCACUCCUGGCCACUGAUCAAGCCCUCUCCACCUCCAACCCAGACCAAGCUGCCUCUGGCUGCCCCUUGAGCAGGAGUACUUCUCUGAGUCACACAGUGAAACAGCGCAGUGCAGGUGGACUUCAUCGUAGUCCCCGAUGAACUUGAAGACAGUGACGUGGAAGCGACAGGUCAGGGACACCCCGUUCUCCUCGAUGCCAAUGGUGUUGUCCUUCAAGUUUUGGCACCUGUGAGCAGGACAAAAGCUGGCUAUGGUGCUUCUGUGACUAAGACCCCCCCCCCCUCAAGCAGCACUGCCUGCUCCUGUCCCUAUGAGACCCCCUUGGCCAAAUCAUUCUCUUUGAUGCCACUGUACCUAUAUAUGAGUAUCACGGGACAUACGUUUCUGCAUCCCUAUACUACCUGCCAGUUUUGGCUAGGAUAGACCUAGCUGUCUUAGUAGUAGCUCCUGCAGAGCUAUGCUUUCCAUAGAUAACCAUACAAAGGCUUCUGUGGUCACCUACCCUCCCUCGAUGAUGAAGUAGCGCAGUUUGUCAUUGCUGUCCCGUGAGGGUGUUGCAUAGCACUUGUUCAGCAUCAGGAUCAGGUGGUUGGAGUCAGCCCCCACCACAAAGACCCCCACAUAGAGCACGUCCCGCGUGGUCAGCACCACUUCCCCCUGCCGGUAUGGGUGCUUGUAGGAGGAGUUCUUAUACAGGGCCAUCUUGGUUGUGAAGCUCCCUUCCUGGGUUGGCACUGUCAGAUUGAUCACACUAAUAAAAAGAAUAAAAACAAUGAGUCUUGGACCUCAUGUUGGCUGUUGUUUGCAUAUUGUAACCUUCCUGUCCAUGCACACACAUGAACUACUUGCCCUGCUCUGACCUGAGCAUUGGCCGCACGACUGAGUCCAGAGAGAUCUUAAUGUCCAGCUCAUAGGCACAAGAAAACUCCACGUUGAUGGUCCGGUCUCGUGUGAUGAUGUUGCCUGUGUUGUUUGCGCUUUCAAUCCACACCGUGUUCUUGUAUACGAUGUGAGUGCUGUUGGACUGCAGAAGGCACAACAUGGCAUCCCUCUAAAGUGACCAUCUCUGAUCUCCCACUUGUUGCUCAGACCCAAAACAUAUAGUGUGACUCUGACAAUUCCACUUCUCUUACCCAAAUAU